AUUGAACGCUGGCGGCAGGCCUAACACAUGCAAGUCGAACGAGUGGCGGACGGGUGAGUAAUGUCUGGGAAACUGCCCGAUGGAGGGGGAUCACUACUGGAAAGGGUAGCUAAUACCGCAUACCAUGGGAUGUGCCAAGAUGGGAUUCGCUAGUAGGUGGGGUAACGGCGCACCUAGGCGACGAUCCCUAGCUGGUCUGAGAGGAUGACCAGCCACACGGGAACUGAGACACGGUCCAGACUCCUACGGGAGGCAGCAGUGGGGAAUAUUGCACAAUGGGCGCAAGCCUGAUGCAGCCAUGCCGCGUGUAUGAAGAAGGCCUUCGGGUUGUAAAGUACUUUCAGCGGGGAGGCGUUACUCGCAGAAGAAGCACCGGCUAACUCCGUGCCAGCAGCCGCGGUAAUAC
rnacentral:rRNA from 1 species